rnacentral:lncRNA from 1 species
AUAGAUGCAAUCAUCGGAUCUCACCUCUUUAUCACGUCAUAGCCUCUGAUGAAGAUGUAAUGGUUCCAUUAUCGUCUUCAAUCGAUUGUAUCAGACGAUGUAGUAAGAAGAUUCAUUAUCUGUAUUUUUCUCGUGACAUCGUGGUUCACUGAUCAAUCAAAGUUCCGCCUGUAUUGAGAAAUUCCUCAGCCACUACCGCCGGAGAUAUUUCAUCUUGUUUAGGUCUCUACCGAUGUGUCUGUCUCAUGUAUGAAAUUGCGAUCUUUUCCACUUUAUGAAAUCGUUCUCUCCCUGUGUAAUCACUUCGUCAAUUUCAGAUACACGAUAGAUAAGAAGUGUUGAUCUGCUCAAACCAGAAGUUUCGAUGUCUUUUAGGUAACAUAAGUUUUUUUUUUCUCCUUUUGUUCAAUUAAUUCAUUCCAAGAAACGAAUUUAUCUUCGAAUUUCCUUUUGUUAGAUUUCUGAUGUUGUGUAGUCUCAUCAUUCACGUUCACAAAUCUCUCACAUUCCUUCCUCCUAUCAUCGCCUCGCCUUCUAAUGUUGUCGCCUCAUCCCCUAUCGAUCGCCUGGUUCUCAUAGUGCUUGUGUCGAUGUCUUAUAAAUCUUCUAUUCGUUUUGGUUUUUAAUUGGGGAUAUGUAUUCUCGAUUGAGAUCCAAUAGGCUUAUUGUUCUAAUUAGUUGGUCGGAAAUUAUGGAUAUGGUGGUGAUCACAUGGAGAUGUCAAAACAAGGACAAAAUCAAUCUCUAGUUUAUAUGAGAAAAUGAAAGAAUUAAGAGGUUGCAUCAUUUGAAAUUCGAGGUUCACAUUUUUCAUAUCAACUCAACCUCAUGAUUUCAAGCAAUUGUGAAAAGUACCAAAAACCUUGGAUUAGUUUUUUUUAGGUGAUUGUUAUUUUCUUCUGGUAAUGUAUGGCAUUUAUACUAUAUUCAUCAUUGUUCCUUAAUUGAUGAUAUUUGUGCAUAUACAUGAUUUUCUAUUAUAGUCGAUGGUGAUGUGUGUGCAUUACCUUGAUGAAUAUUUGUAUUCAUCCUUCUCAUUGCCUCCUUGAUUCGUGCACACAGCCUGUUUGACAAAAUGCCACAAUUUUGCUUUAUUUUAGUUUUUGUGCCUAGAAGAGAUAUAUGAUGUAAUCCAUUGUUUUGGUAAUUUUACACAAUUUGUUGCAUAUUCAAUGUUAUUGUUAUCCACUAGGAUUUUUUAUUAAAACUUGAGUUGAAUUGAAAAACGUAUACAGGAAUAUAGUAGUUUUGACUCGAAUCACAUUAAAUUUCAAACUUGGUGAUCUUAGGUUUCAUGUUUUUGUAUACUCUAACAUAAUGAUGGACAUUAUUUAUUACAACAAAAUUAUAAUUAAAGAAGUUGAAAUUUGAUGAUAAGGGCUUAAACUCCAUUGGAGAUAGUUAUGGUUGUUUUCUUCCUUUAUGCAAAUCAAUCACUACUAUACUAUCUAAACCAUUAUAGCCAAUUGUUCUAGUAUAUUCAUCUUCUUUUCUCAAUUCUUCCAUGUAAUAUAUUUAUCAACACCUGUAGCAAACAAAAGUUUAUUUCAUCUUCUUCUUUUGCCAAAUCCUUAUUAAGUGCUUAAUGGCUUAAGCACUUAAGCCUAAACUUCAGAUCCAGAGGCCUAACAUGCCUAGAAUCCAUAAAGUUGUGAACUUUAUCCCUUUGGACGUCCAUAAAGUCCUAAAUGCUUGGUCUUAAUCCAUUAAGACCUUUCAUGGGACACAUUCAGCUAAUGAGACCUCAUUUUUAUCACUCAAGGUCCAUUCAAGAGUCCAAAAGGAUAGUUUUUUACGUCCAAAACACAACAUGCACCACCUUGUGGAUUUUGGGAAAAGAAAUGGGUCUUUUUAAAGAAAAUGAAGAGAUCUAAACAUAUAAGCAUAAAGUUUGGAACUUUAUACCUUCUGGAGUUUCUUGAGCACGAAAUAGCUUCAAAUUUACAAGCUUGGUCACUUCCUUCAACUCUUUGAUGCAAUGGUUUCCUCUUAAACACCCAAGAACACACCAAAUGAGCUAAAACACACAAAAGGGAGGCUAGGGUUUUAGAGAUACGAGUUUGAUCUAUGGAGGCUGAGGUAAAAGGGGUGUUGGUGCACAUAAUGUUGCUUAUAUAGGCGCCAAACCCUAAAUAUUAGGGUUUUCACUCCUGACGCUAGUACGCCCAGCAUACACAAGUGUACGCCAAGCAUACUAAGGCGGAUCCUUAUACGCUUAGCGUACUCAAACGUACGUGCAGCGUACACCCCCUUUUGGUCAAAUUUGAAAAAUUGGCCCUAAUACUUGUCUUGGCUCUACAUUCUAAGUCCCUAAGGGCUAUAACUGAAAAAGUAAAGAUAGAAGAGGGUUCGGAAAUACAUGAAAAUCCCAGGGUGUUACAAUUCUCCCCCACUUAACCUAGACUUCGCCCUCAAAGCCUGCUGCAGCUAAUAAAUCCGGGUAAUGCUCUUUCGGGCUCCCACGUCCACUCGGAUCCCUUCCGAUGCUCCCACUGUACCUUCACCAAAGGUAUUGCCUUGUUCCUUAGAACCUUUAUCUUCCUUUCCAAUAGGGUCAUAGCCCUCUCCACAUAAUUCAGGCACUCAUCAACCUGAAUGUCGUCCAAUGGUACCACUGCCUCCUGAUCCAUAAUACACUUUCGCAAUUAUGAAACGUGGAAAUUGCUAUGGAUCCGACUAAGCUCCUCUGGUAGCUCUAGCCUAUAUGCUACUUUGCCGACCCUGGCAAUGAUCCUGAACGGCCCAAUGUAACGAGGACCCAAUCUUCCCUUCUUACUGAAACGGAUCACACCCUUCCAGGGUGAGACCUUCAGGAGUACCAUAUCACCCACCUGGAACUCUAAUUUCGAUCGGCAUCUGUCAGCGUAACUCUUCUGCCGACUCUAAGCGGUCUGCAAUCGCUGCCUAAUCUGCUAAAUCUUCUCGGUAGUCUGCAAGACUACCUCCGUCCAUCCCAUCACCCCUGUGACCAACCUCGAC